UUGGGUGGUCUGUAGUAGACCCCCACCAUUAAGUCCCUUUCCCCACAACCCCCAUGUAUUCUGACCCAGAGCGCUUCAGCCUGCCCCUCCUCUGACCCCAUCCUGUUAGUUGAGGAUGUGUAUUGCUCUUUGAUGUAGAGCGCCACACCCCCGCCUUUCCUCCCCAUUCUAUCCCACCUGUAUAGAUAAUUCAGAGUGCUAAGAAUGUUUCUUAUCAGAAAGGGGCUACUUCUAGAAGCUUAGUUUUUCAUUCUGUAAGAAUGAACAAAGAUAAACAACAUCAAUUGUGUAUGAGUGCAUUGCAGCAGUUGCUAUCAAAACCCUGCAUCAUUUAAUGGCAAACAGUAGUAGCUGAGAUCCUGCCAUUAUUUUCUGACCUAAGAAGAAAAAAACAAACCAUGAAAAAAAAUCAUUUCUCCCUGUGUAGUAACUGUUGAUAAAUUACUUUUUGACUGCUAUGUCUGUUUAAUCCAUAUUCAUCAAUAAGAAUAAAUGGAAGUUAGGACCCUCGUCUUCAGCUAAUAUAAAUGUGCAUAGGUUAGUUUAAAUCAAUAAGUCAGUAGAGCUGAGUGUCUGGCCCAAGAUUUGCAAUCUUUAAUGACUAAGUAAUAUUUAUUUAUAUUUAUAUAUGUAUAUGCUGUUACAGAAGAGAGCAGAAUAACUUAGAAAACAAGAGAACAAAACAGGAGAAACAAAAUAUCUUACAAAAAUCCAUGCACUAUUAAAAUAAAUUAUAAAGCUAUAAAGCAAACCCCUCCUAAACAAUAUUUCAGCUUUGCCUUGCCUGCUAAAUGCCUGCCCAGAAAGCAAGGACAUACAGUGUCCAGGCUUGGGCUCUGGUGAGUGUCAAAGAGGAGAGAGUUCCAGAGCGGGGGGGACUACAGAGAAUGACCUCUCACAUGUUUUUGCCAAGCAAACUUGACACAUUGGUAAUACUUAGAGGAGGUUGCUUUUGUCUAAUUUUAGGGGUUGUAAUGGGAUAUAACAGAGAAGGUGGUCCCUUAGGUAUACAGGGCUCAGACAGUUUAGGACCUUAUAAGUCAAAAGCAGCACCUUAAAUUGUGCCCAGAAAGCUACUGGGAGCCAGCACAGACUCCAAAGCAUUGGAGUUAUGUGCUCCUGGUAACCCAGCCCCCAUAAAGAAGCUGGGCUACUGCAUUCUGUACCUCCUGCACUUCCAAACAGUCAUCAAGGGUGGCUCCAUAUAGAGCGCAUUUCAGUAGCCUGGCCUCAAAGUUAUGAAGACAUGGGUGAUGGUGGCCAGAUCAAAAUCUGAAAGAAAGUAUCAUAGCUUUCUUACCUGAUGGAUCUGGUGAAAGACAUUCCUAUUUAUUGUCACCACCUAGAGAUCUAGGUGCAGCGGAGAAUUCAGGACCGCCCAAAGGCUGCAAACCUGUGUGAUAAGGGGAGGCUGAACCCCAUGAAUGGUAGGUGUCCCAGUCUUUCCCAGGUAAAGGGAAUGCCCUGAGGGGACAAUGAGUUCUUGCUCAUCAACACUCUCUGGGACCUUUCUGCUAGGAAAGAGGAGAACCAAUUUAGAGUGGUCCUGUAAAUACCCAACAGUAAAGCUUUAUCAGCAACUCAUGGUCAACUGUAUCAAAGGCUGCCAGAAGAUACUGUGCAGCAAAUCAGCAAAGUACCAUUUACCCUGUUGAACUUCAAACAAAGACUGACAACCAAGGUCAUGUAUGCAAUUUUCAUGCGCAGGGCAAAAGCCAGACCAACAGGGGUCCAGGAAUCGGAUCACAUCCAGAUGCACCUGAGGCUGUUGGGUGACUUUCAGUGACCUUCUCUAAAAAGGGGGAGUUUAGAGGCUGAGCAAUAGCUGGCUAGGGAGUCAGUGUCCAGUGAUGGUAUACUGAGUAUGGACCAGACAGUUGUAGACUUAACAACAUCCAGGACCCUGCCCUCCUGAAGGGAGGUACUGACAACCCCACCAGCUGUGGUCCCACUCUCCCUUAACUAGCUUUUACAAGCUGGCAAGGGAUGGGUCCAGUUUAUAGCUAGUUGCUUGCAUCCUCUUGAGCACAUCCUUUGUGCCAAAAGUGGCAGUCCUCAAGUCCUGCUGAACACAGAUGAUUUUGUCACAAGGUAGGUGGUAAACUUUAGCACCUUUUGUGAACUUGCUGAGAGCUUAUAUUUUGCAAAAUUUGGCAUGGACUGCUUUUUAGUUUCCAGACACACAUAGUCCUGUGCCAAAAUGUGCAGCUUUAUAAAGCAAAUAACUUAAGAUGGCAAGUUCUACCUUAGGGCAUAAUUUCAAAGCAGCAUGUGAGUUCAUUCUCAUUAUCUUACCUCACUAGACAGUAGUUGCAUUUAUAGAAAGAAUAAGGCCAUAUUGCUCUGUCUAGUGAAGGCCAUUUUAUCAGGGGCAUUUAAGCAAAAGCUGUACUAAUGGAGUGUCUGAGCUGUUCUUUUAAUAUCUGUUUUUCCAAGGCUGAGAAAAGGUGAAUGAUUUCACAUCAAGACAAUUAAUGGAAUUGCAAUAAAGUUAACAGAAGUUCUCUGCACAAAAUUAGGACACAGAAAGCACCAGCACUAAAGCUUACUUAAGAACUGGAAUAAAUUGUAAGGAUGAGAAUUGUGAUGUAUUUUAAGGUUCAAACAGAAAACAGCAAUGGAAAUACAUUUUUAAACACACAUUUAACAGGAAGACGGACUGUGAUGAUGACACAGGCUGGAGACCAUUGGAACCAUUAUAUAACUUGCUUUGUUCUUUGGACAAAUGUUAUGCAAGUUGAUUAAAGGCAAUGAUUUAUAGCUAUGCAAAACAACAAAUUAAGAAACACUGGGAGAGGCUGCCAAACUUUUAGAAUUACUUGUCAAUAGUCUACAUGUUUAAGCUACAUUAAACUUUUCCUAACAUUUCCAGGA